rnacentral:rRNA from 1 species
GAUGAACGCUGGCGGCGUGCCUAAUACAUGCAAGUCGAGCGAACAGAUGAGGAGCUUGCUCCUCUGACGUUAGCGGCGGACGGGUGAGUAACACGUGGAUAACCUACCUAUAAGACUGGGAUAACUUCGGGAAACCGGAGCUAAUACCGGAUAAUAUAUUGAACCGCAUGGUUCAAUAGUGAAAGACGGUUUUGCUGUCACUUAUAGAUGGAUCCGCGCCGCAUUAGCUAGUUGGUAAGGUAACGGCUUACCAAGGCGACGAUGCGUAGCCGACCUGAGAGGGUGAUCGGCCACACUGGAACUGAGGCACGGUCCAGACUCCUACGGGAGGCAGCAGUAGGGAAUCUUCCGCAAUGGGCGAAAGCCUGACGGAGCAACGCCGCGUGAGUGAUGAAGGUCUUCGGAUCGUAAAACUCUGUUAUUAGGGAAGAACAAAUGUGUAAGUAACUAUGCACGUCUUGACGGUACCUAAUCAGAAAGCCACGGCUAACUACGUG